rnacentral:tRNA from 1 species
AAAGUGGCUCAGGGGUAGAGCAAUUCACUCGUAAUGAAUAGGUCGCGGGUUCGAUUCCCGCCUUUGG